AAUGCAACAUUUUGUAAGUCGCUCUGGAUAAGAGCGUCUGCUAAAUGACUUAAA
rfam:Salmo salar isolate Sally breed double haploid chromosome ssa20, whole genome shotgun sequence.